rnacentral:misc_RNA from 1 species
AAGAUUUCUCCCUUCCCUUUUGCAUCAACACGUUUUCCUUUUUUAAUUAGUUUCUUUCUAAAACUUCACUACCAAUAUGCAAUAGCUAGUGCCUCACAAAACGUUUCAGGAGGUUGGCGUAUAUGAUUGGGAUUUUUGUUACAGUACCAUAGAUCAGAUCACACAAUAUGAGAGGUGGUGGUCUUGCAGAUGCUUACUCCAUGUACAAGCGUGCAUCAACUAAAGACCAGUUCACUGAUUAUGAAGAUAGAGAAGAAAAUCUAGAUCGUGCCGAAAAUGGUGUGUGGAAAGAAAUUGGAAACCCCUCAUGGAAGCGGCCGUUGCCACAUAUACUGGUGGCAAUUAUUUCAUCACUCUUGUUUGGCUACCAUCUUGGGGUGGUUAAUGACACUCUAGAAAGCAUGUCUUUGGACCUUGACUUCAGUGGCAGCACCUUGGCGGAAGGUCUAGUUGUGAGUACAUGUUUGGGAGGUGCUCUUUUGGGCUCUAUAUUCAGUGGUUGGAUAGCAGAUGGGGUUGGUCGUCGGAGAGGCUUUCAACUGUGUGCUCUACCAAUGAUUAUAGGUGCUUCUAUGAGUGCCGCAACCAGUACUCUUGGAGUUAUGCUUCUUGGAAGGUUAUUUGUUGGAAUAGGGAUGGGCCUUGGCCCUGCUGUUGCUGCUCUCUAUGUUGCAGAGGUUUCACCAGCUUUUGUUAGAGGCACUUAUGGGAGUUUCACUCAGAUCGCCACAUGCCUUGGGCUCCUGGGAUCUCUUCUCAUUGGAAUUCCUGCCAAGGAUACUGCUGGUUGGUGGCGAGUUUGCUUUUGGAUAUCCACCAUUCCUGCUGCAAUACUUGCUGUUUUGAUGGAAUUCUGUGCCGAGAGUCCUCACUGGCUUGUUAAGAGAGGAAGAAUUGAUUUAGCUGAAGAAGAGCUUGAAAAGCUUAUGGGAGCACCACAUGUUAAAUAUGCCAUUGCAGAAAUGUCAAAGACAGACAAAGGAGAUGAGGUGGAUAAUGUUAGGUUUGGAGAGCUAUUGUAUGGUCGCCAUUUUAAAGUGGUU